ACAUCCGCCAUCAUGAAGGUCCUGCUGCUCACACUGCUGCUCCUGCUUUGUUGCACUCAAGGUAAGAGAACUUUGGCUAGCAUUAAGUUUUUAUGAACAAAAGUAAAAGUAAAAAUACCUUAAAGCAAAUAUUUUUCUAAAAUAAAAGCUUUAAUUGAUUACUUGCAUUUUACACAAAUGGAAAAACAACGUUUCUUUGGCAGUAGAAAGGGAACUGUUUCUCUUAACGUUUUUGAUCUGUUACCUCAUAACCCUUUAAUGCCUUUUGUAUCAUAUUUGAUACUUUUAUAUACUUGUAGCAAAUCAAUAUAAUCAACAAAUUACUAAAAAAACACCUGAAUACAGUCUGAUAAAUGAUUAAAAAAAUCUUGUAGUUUAUAAGUUCCCAAAAACCUCUAAUUUAUCAAACAAGAUAAAUAAAUAUAUUUAUUAAAUUUUAAGGACAUUUUGAUUUCUGGGGUUUUCAGUAGUAAGUGAAAUAAACAUUUCAGCUCCAAAAAAAUUUGGAUUUUCUGACAGUAAUUUGUGGUGUCAGGCAUUAAAGGGAUGAUGCUGUUUUAAAUGUAAACUCAUUUUUGUGUUUUCUCAUCAGCGUUCAGCAUACAAUGCUUCAGCUGCACCGGUGCAGAUGACACCUGUACACAAACAGUAUCCUGUGAUUACUCAUGCAAAGUUGAAAGGACAAACGGUAUGUAGAAGGUUAUUUUGUUCUUUUUUUUCCCACAGAGACUUUAAUAUUGGAAAGGUGUAGUCAUAGCAUCUCUUUGUUUAUUACAGGUGGUAGUGUUCGGCGUUCCUGUGCUCAAAACUGUGUGGAAGACGGGGAUCGCAUAACCUGCUGCAAUGAAAGUCUCUGCAAUUCACCUUAGGCACCCUUUGGCUUUCUGACAAUAAGAAAAUAAUCAAAUAUAAUCUUAACAUUACAGAGAUUCUUCGUUGAUUCGACAGAUUUAAAUCCUGUGUUUGAUUUGUCUUGCUGUAAUGCAGUUCUUGCAUCAAAAUCUACAAAUGUUGAAUUGUCAACCAUGAUAGUCACAGCAAUGAAUUUUGUAAUGACAUAGUGCUGGGCAGCGGGGCAACUACACACAUGCACACAAACACACACUUAAUCCAGUCAUGAUGUCACUUAGUGGGUCACUGCGACAGCCUCAUAUGUGGGUCGCUCACUGUCUCUGCCGCAAUGUAAAGCUGGGAGUCAUCUGUAUUGAAAUCAUUCUUGUAAAUAAAUAAAUCUUUUAAAGCUCAA